UAAUCUGUAGAAUCGUCAAAAAAGAGAAGACAUGUCCACAUAUCAAUCACAGGAUCUUAUGAGAUGACCUUAGAGGCCAUCUACCACUGUCCUACCACAGCCGCCCUGUGGCCACACUACAAGGUCACAGACAGAUCUCAACGGCCUCUGGGUAGGACAUGCUGUAAUGGGGACAAGCAAGGCUGUGGUGCCACACACACACACCGGGGCUCUGUGCCUGCCCUCCACGACCCUUCUCUGACAGCUCCCUGACCCCCUGCCCUUGCUAUCUCCAUCCACAGAAGAGCUCAGUAUUCCCCACACACAGUAGUGUGAGGGUAGAGGACACAAAGUGCUCAGUGCACCACAGAUCCUAACUUCAGCACAGACCCCGUCUCUCCAUCCUGCCCACGGAUGCCAGCAGCAGUGCAGGUUCAUUCUGACUCCUGUGUUUCAUCCAGUCACCCAGGGAGCAACUCUAUCAGAGGGGAGCCUGACACGUUCCUGGUAAAGGGUUCUUAGAAUCCUGAAUUCAAACUAAAUUAAAACAAGUGACUGCAUUUA